rnacentral:lncRNA from 1 species
AUCUGCGAGAUGAUCUACUUCGGGAGCUUCGGGGUUCAGUGCCUGCUCCCACUCCUGCACCUUCGUCAGCGUUGGUCCCUUCCUUGACAGCCGUGACUGAGAUGACGGCCCAUGUGCAGGAAGAGAUUUACAACGUCCGGAGCCUGAUCUAGGCUCAAUUCUCCAGUAUGAGUGAGGUCACGGGCAUCACUCGGAAGAUGCGCGAUGACAUCCGGAAGGACAUGAGCACCACUACUCAGGGGGCCGAGCGCUUGUCGAACGUGCUCAU